rnacentral:misc_RNA from 1 species
UCCUCUUUACAGAGGCAGUUUGUCUCGAGUUCCCGGCUUUACCCGCUGGUAACAAGACAUGAGGGUUGCGCUCGUUGCGGGACUUAACCCAACAUUUCACAACACGAGCUGACGACAGCCAUGCACCACCUGUGCACCACCCUCGAAGGCGACGCCUUUUGGGGCGCUUGCAGGUGCAUGUCAAGCCCUGGUAAGGUUCUUCGCGUCGCAUCGAAUUAAGCCAUAUGCUCCACCGCUUGUGCGGGCCCCCGCCAAUUCCUUUGAGUUUCAACCUUGCGGCCGUAGUCCCCAGGCGGUCUACUUAAUGCGUUAGCUGCGCCACAAGAGAUACAAGAUCCCCAACGGCUAGUAGACAGCGUUUACAGCGUGGACUAC